rnacentral:lncRNA from 1 species
UUCUCUUUGACUUGAAAGGACCCCCCUGGUUGUUACCUGCCCAUGUUGCAGGUAAGUGUAUGAUGUGCUGCUGCAGGCAGCUCUGCCAGCUCUGCUCCUGGCCUCAUCCUCACCUCCUGGCAGUGCUCUCCUCCUUGGAGCAUCCUGAGCCUCACGCGUGGAGUACUGGCAGAGCACCGGGAAAAACCGAGAGGGACCAACAGCUGGUACAGGGACUGCUGUCCUCCAAAGGGUUAGAGGGCUUUAGUUCAAGCCAGUCCUUUUAAUCAGAAAGGACACUUGCAGACUCUGCAGCACCAUCCACAAGGAUCCAGGAGAGUAGAAACACACCACCACUGACUUCUAGCCAGUGGAGUUUUCUGGAAUGUGAAUGCAGCUCCUUGAGCCACAGGAAGAAAUUGAACGUACAUCUUCCAUUUUUUAGCUGAGGGUAUUAAUUUUGUGUUAUUGGAUGGAAAGUUAACAACCUCUAAUUUUAUUUACAUGACCUUAAUUUUAAGUACCCAGAAAGUUAAAUUCAAAAUAUGAAGGGCUUAUAUUCAGAAAGUGUUUAAACAAACCUUCUGAUAGGUUAAUUCCCCCCUGCCCCCCCUGUCAUCAUUUGUUUUGGCAAAACCAGUUUAUUGAAUUUGUUCAAACUUCAGAGAAUGAUCAGCCAACCUGAAAUGUGUUUUGUGACUAAUGAUUUACCAAAAGAAAUUUACUGUCUUCUUCCCAGGAGGCAUAUCAUUUAUCUGGAAGUUCACGGUCUUCUCUUUUCCAGGUUGAAGCAUUCUGGGGCAUUCAGCUAUUCCUUGUGUGCAAACAGCAUUCUACCUCUGACCUUUCCUUGUUGUUUUCCUCUGACCCUACUCCAGUUUCCACUGUAUCUUUUUUAAGUUGUGUGGGUGGUAGAACAUCCAGGACUGUACAAAGUGUUCACAGUGCAAGCCCAUCCUGGCUUUAUAUAGUGGGAAAAGCUGCUGAAUAAGCCUUUGGCUCAGCCCCACCAAUCAGAAUGGUACUGCAGUCAGAGACAGGCUGCUGUGGGGGGAACAGACCAUCUGAGAAAGGGCAAAGUGCUCCCUGAUAGUGUGAGAGCUCUGUGCCCAGAGUGUCCCACCAGCCUGGCAGAGAUACCUCCUGCAGGCUUGUCCUGGAGGAAAGAGAAGGAAAGGACACUCAUGAGGCUUUUAUCCUUUCUCUUCUAAAAAAACCAGCCUGUGAUCUGUGAUAUGCAACUCCCCAUCAACAGCCAGGUUCUCUGUGAAGGGGCAUGGGAGACAGGACACAGAAUGGGCUGCUUGCCAAUGGGCAUGAGCUGGAACAAGGCUGAUUUGAUAAAUGCAACAGACUUAGGAAGGGAAAAGACCUUAGAGAUGUCUGGAUCCAAUAGAGAGUGACUUCUUAUGAACUAAGUGAUCUUCUAGGGUCUGGUGCUGGACCCUAAGAAAUGGAGGAAAACAAAACCAAAACCAAACCAAAACCAAAAAGGAUGCAGACUUGGUCCCAGUGGCGAAGGACUUUAUUGCUAUAACUGUUACAUCAGUGCACUCACAAUGGUCCAUAUUCUGUGUACAAACAGCACUGAGGAUAGCCCCUGGAAACCUGUCUUACUGUAUAUGUGCUGUAAACUGCAAUUUCUCUGAUGUCUGCUAAGGGAAAAGAAUUGCUUUUUAACCUUAUUUAUUUAACCUUACUUAUUCUCUCCAGCAUGUGAAAAACACACGUUGACGAGCUGAAAAUCACUCACUCAGUGAAGGCAGAGUCUUGGUAGCUACCUCUGAAUAAAUGCUGCUAGAGAUUAUCUCA